UUCUUAAGAAUUUAACUUGCUGAGGUAGCUGGGCACUUCUGUAAGCCUAGCACUAGGGACAUAGAGGCAGGAGGAUCAAGAUCCCAAGUCUCUCAUCAGUGGUUUGUGGGUUUUUUUUUUUUGUGUGUGUGUGUGUGUGUGUGUGUGUGAGAGAGAGAGAGAGUUUAAAUCCAGCUUGGGCUACAUGAAAUCGUGAAAUCCUGUUUCAGAACAAACCAACAAAAUCCUUAAAAAUAACAAGGAGAAAGAAAUUCAAUCAGCUACUUUGAACUCCAGUUUUCACUGAGGAAAGCCAAGCCCAUGAGAGCAAUGUCACAUAUCAAUGUCACAUAUCCAUUGCCUUGAUUUGUGCCUUAAAGCUCAAACACUUGUGUCACAGAAUCAGAGACAUUGCAGACAAUCUAUUUUAGUCAAAGACUAAGAUAUACAAGAUGAAGAGAUCUUCGGUUAAAAUUGACACUCAAGGAAAUAAGACAAAGCAGAAUAAAUAAACUUAUAGUGCUUUUAGAAGUUUGCCUUUUGAACAUACUCGGGCUGGACGUAGGCCUCUCCCAACAUAAGUAGCAGAUGCGCAGCUUGGUCUUCAUAUGGGGGCUAUCCCAAAAGCUGUUGCCUGUAAGUGGAAUAUGUUCAUGAACUUGAGCUGCCAUGUCUGCUCUCAGUGGGAGAGGAUGCCCCUAGCCUUGCAAAGACCUGAUGUGCCAAGAUUAAGGGAUACCCAGGAGUACCGCCCCCCCCACGUGCUCAGAGGAGAAGAGGAGAGAGGAUGGAGGAAGGAUAGUGGGAGGAGGUGACCGAGAUGGGGCCAGUGAGCAAGUUGUAACGUGAAUAAUUUUGAAAAAGAGAAUUAAUCUUUUUUUUUCCUUUCUGCCUUUAAAUUUAUUAAAACCUUUAUGUAAAAAACAACUUAUAAAUAAAAGUUAUUGUAUGGUGAUAUAAUCAGACCCAAAAUUUAUCAUCUCCAUAGAUUUCAGUAAGGUGAGAAUAGCUGUCCUAAAACUACGAAACUAUACAUUUGAUUUUACACUUUCAUUAUUAAAUAUAUUUAUAUGAGCUUUUCUAUCACCAAAAGAUGAAAAUGCAUGACAGAGUUAGAACCGGAAAGACAAUUACCUUUAUAGGCUCCUUCACGAUUCACGUGUUCACUACCUCACUCUUUCCUUCCUCUUCUCCUGGUGUUUAACUCUGCCUUGUUCUCCUUCCUACUUGUUAUACUGUGCCCAGAUAUACAUCUGCUUACAUGUUUGGAAUACAUUUAUUAUAGGCUAGUAUCUGUAAAGAAGGCAGAACACGUUUUUUAAAUUUCUUUCUGAGUGUGUGACAUCUACAAUAUACAUUUAUUCCCCCCACCAAGUGUUUCGUUUUUCUUUAGAAAUGAAUAGUAUUCAUUUUACAUAUGCCAUAUAAAACACAGAAUUUCAUAGUUGCUAUGCCAGCUUACCCCAAAGUGUUUAAACAGACUGCGGAUGCAGCAUUAACUGUGAUGCCUGUGGUUCUCUGAGUUUGGGAGGCAGACUUCGGCCCUAGCAUUUCCCCUCUUUCCAUACCUGAUAGAAAGAGUUAGUGUGACAUAGAGAUCUGCAUCUUUGCAGGGGCUAGGAUGUUGCUCAGUGGAUAGCUGCUUGCCUACCAUACACUACUUCCCGUGUUUUGUCCCUUGAACCACAUUAGACUAGAUACGAUGGUGUAUGAUUGUAAUCUUACCUGGUAGGAAACCGUCAGGAGGGUCAGAAGUACAAGGUCAACAUUGAACUGCAGAGUGACUUUGAGGCUGGUUUUCAUCACAGGAGUCCCUGUCUUGAAAACAAAUAAGACACUGUUUACAAUGCAGUCUGUGAUGUGUAUAAACAUCAGAACUCUGGCUCUUUUCAGUUCACCAAUCAUAAAUAUAUUUUCAUGAUACCGUUUUUGAGAAGAUCCCAGAAAUACGACAAGAAAAACAACUUUUUUUGGUUUGUUAGGAGUUUUUGUUUGUUUUUCUGUUUUAUUUUGUUUUGUUGAGACAAAGUCUCAUUAUGUAGUCCUACAUGGCCAGGAAGUUGCUAUGGAGACCAGAUCGGCCUUGAACUCAUGGAGAUAAACACAUCUCUGCCUUCAGCAUGCUGAGCUUAAAGGUGUAUACCAUCACACCAAAGACGUUAUUACAUGCUUUAUAGCUCUUACACACCAAGCCUGGUGUUUUGAAAACUCUUCACCAAUCUGAUAAAUAAGGAAGAAAAUGUUUAUUUUGAUAUCUUGGCUUUGAUCUUUUAAAGGCCAACUGGAAAACUCGUGGAUUUUUAAAACCACUGAUAAUAAAAACAUUUUUUUCUGUUUUUGUUUUAUUCCAAUGAUCCGUGUAGAAAUCUGGACC
rnacentral:lncRNA from 1 species